GACGAACGCUGGCGGCGUGCUUAACACAUGCUAGUCGAACGGUAAGGCCCUUCGGGGUACACGAGUGGCGAACGGGUGAGUAACACGUGGGUGAUCUGCCCUGCACUUCGGGAUAAGCCUGGGAAACUGGGUCUAAUACCGGAUAGGACCCUGGGAUGCAUGUCCUGGGGUGGAAAGCUUUUGCGGUGUGGGAUGGGCCCGCGCCUAUCAGCUUGUUGGUGAGGUAAUGGCUCACCAAGGCGACGAUCAGUAGCUGGUCUGAGAGGAUGAUCAGCCACACUGGGACUGAGACACGGCCCAGACUCCUACGGGAGGCAGCAGUGGGGAAUAUUGGACAAUGGGGGCAACCCUGAUCCAGCCAUGCCGCGUGAGUGAUGAAGGCCUUAGGGUUGUAAAGCUCUUUUACCCGGGACGAUAAUGACUGUACCGGGAGAAUAAGCCCCGGCUAACUUCGUGCCAGCCGCCGCAGUAA
rnacentral:rRNA from 1 species